rnacentral:rRNA from 1 species
UGCGGAAGGAUCAUUACCUAGAGUUGUAGGCUUUGCCUGCUAUCUCUUACCCAUGUCUUUUGAGUACCUUACGUUUCCUCGGUGGGUUCGCCCACCGAUUGGACAAACUUAAACCCUUUGCAGUUGAAAUCAGCGUCUGAAAAAACUUAAUAGUUACAACUUUCAACAACGGAUCUCUUGGUUCUGGCAUCGAUGAAGAACGCAGCGAAAUGCGAUAAGUAGUGUGAAUUGCAGAAUUCAGUGAAUCAUCGAAUCUUUGAACGCACAUUGCGCCCCUUGGUAUUCCAUGGGGCAUGCCUGUUCGAGCGUCAUUUGUACCUUCAAGCUCUGCUUGGUGUUGGGUGUUUGUCUCCUGUAGACUCGCCUCAAAACAAUUGGCAGCCGGCGUAUUGAUUUCGGAGCGCAGUACAUCUCGCGCUUUGCACUCAUAACGACGACGUCCAAAAGUACAUUUUUACACUCUUGACCUCGGAUCAGGUAGGGAUACCCGCUGAACUUAAGCAUAUCAAUAA